UGACAGGCGGACCUGUUAAGUCAGAUGUGAAAGCCCCGGGGCUUAACCUCGGAAUUGCAUUUGAAACUGGCAGGCUAGAGUCUUGUAGAGGGGGUAGAAUUUCAGGUGUAGCGGUUGAAAUGCGUAGAGAUCUGAAGGAAUACCAGUGGCGAAGGCGGCCCCCUGGACAAAGACUGACGCUCAGAUCGCGAAAGCGUGGGGAGCAAACAGGAUUAGAUACCCCUGGUAG
rnacentral:rRNA from 1 species